AUCCGUGAAACGUACGUUUCAGGGUUAUUUGUUUUCUUCUUUUCCCUUUUAUUUUUUACAAAGCGAACGAGGUUAUUUAUACCCGUCGCUUUCGCUAUGAACGAUACAAUCAAGUGCUUGGCGCCUAUCUGAAGCACUUUACUGCUCGAAUUACGUUCUGUUUUCGUAUUGAAGUCGCUGAUUUCGUUAGAAAUUUUUCUGUGUGGUCACGCCAAUAGAUUUGCGUGCUGCACUUUCGUGGUCGUUUCAAUACGCGUUUAAUGCCUUUAAUUUCUCCGGUAGCAUAGGCUGUUUCACUCGCAAUUAUAUGCGAUAAAUUUUCGGCUACAAAAUUUUCUCACGUUCUAAUCGCAAACGAACAUCUCUGCUGGUUUACUAUAAUCAUGAUAAAUAAUUAAUGUCCGCAUUCGGACAUCCACAACCUAGAUAUUACAUUUUUUGAAUAGUACAAGGAAUAGACAGUCACGCACUCAAGAAAAACCCCCCUCCCCUUUUCACAACUCUUCCAGACCGUAUGCACAAAAUGAAAAAAACGGUGGUGUACAAGAGUGAUUAUGCAGACAGCUGUAUGCGAGAACGCCUGCAGUCUCGUACAAAAUCAGUGACACAAACUAUCCGUCACGCAAAUCAGGUCAGACGUUGACGGCGUCGAACGAAUUAACCAAUAAGGAAGGAGUGAAAAUCAGAUACCAGUUCCGCGUCAGGAUUAGCCAAUGAGAAGGCAGCUGUGAAAAGGGGGUGUGGGAGGAGUUUAUGUUUGAAUGACGCAGAGAGCGCGAACCGUCAGAGGUCAAGAGCAGAAGACAGCCAAAAGACGAACAAGCGUCAUGCAGGAUUACCGUCGACACGAAGACGUGAAAAAUAUGCCGACGACAUCUCCUCCGCCAACAUCAAGUCGUAUUCUAGUCGACGUUCCGUGUAAGGUGUGCAGGGAUCAUUCAAGCGGCAAGCAUUACGGGAUUUACGCCUGCGAUGGGUGCGCAGGAUUUUUUAAGCGUUCCAUUAGACGUAAUAGGCAGUACGUAUGCAAGAACAGAGCCGGAUCGCCCUGUCCAGUUGACAAGACCCACCGCAAUCAAUGUAGAGCAUGCCGGUUAAAGAAGUGCAUAGAGGCUGGAAUGAACAAAGACGCCGUUCAACACGAAAGGGGACCCCGCAAUUCAACCAUUCGUCGCCAGAUGGCACUCUAUUUAAAAGAAUCAAAUGAUAUGGCAACGACCGUCUUUCCAGCGGCAUUCCGCCAUCCUUAUCUCCAUCAUCCGGCUACAUUCCUCUCACCGCCUCCACCCUUGCCUCUGGCCUCAGUUCGACCGGAAGUUAGGACAUCGCCAGCUAUAGUGAUUGAAGAACGUAACUCAACUCCAACACCGACGUUGACAACGACGUCAAUUAAGUACGCUCAUGAGUUGCCACCCACACCACCCACAAGCGUCGAUUCCGCUGAAUCGGUGUGUGAAGCUGCCGCCAGAAUCCUCUUCAACAUCCUGAGUUGGAUGAAGAGUACACCAGCCUUUCUCCGUCUACCUGUAAGUGACCAAUUAAGCUUGUUAGAGGAAGGAUGGCGGGAAAUGUUUGUACUAGGAGCUGCUCAAUUUCAACUACCAAUCGAAGCUGCAUCUCUUUUAACUGCUGCUGGAAUAUCGCCAGAUAAAUCACCCAGCGAUGACUCUAUCGCGGCUAUUGCAGAGAUAAGAGUCCUUCAGGACACUAUCGCCAAAUUCCGCUCAAUGCAGGUUGACCGGAGCGAAUAUGCUUGCUUAAAAGGCAUCGUCAUCUUCAAAACAGCCGUUCAAAAUAACGACAUCAAAAGCGCUCAAGAUAUAGCCGCUAUCCAAGACCAAGCUCAAGUGACUCUUAGCACCUACAUCAACAAAGCCUAUCCGUCUCAACCCCUCAGAUUUGGACAAUUACUCCUACUCCUUCCCUCAUUAAAGUCGGUGAGCUCGGCAACUAUCGAACGACUCUUCUUCAAGAAGGCGAUUAGAGAUGUUCCAAUUGAUAAAUUAUUAGUAGAUAUGUACAAAUCGAACGACUAUAUUAAUGAAAUUCCACUUUCCUAGAGAAUUGGGCUGUUAUUUAUACAGUUUAAAAACAAAUACAAUAAACUUAUAUCUAUAAACUGUAUUCAUAAGAGCUUAAAGCUUUUUUAUAU
rnacentral:misc_RNA from 1 species